AACCAUAGAAACCUGCGGAGUACCUGCGGAGGGAUCAUUAUAGUAUAUGGAAUCUCCAUUCCAUAAACCCACUCUGCGUAUCUUGUAACUGUUGCUUCCAUGGGACUUGGUUCCGCCACACCGGCUUCACGGCUGGUGAGCGCCCAUGGAAGGAGAAACAAAACUCUUCUUUGAAAUGUAGUCAGUCUGAACAAGUUUUUAUAAACGUUAAAACUUUUAACAAUGGAUCUCAGAUCGGAA
rnacentral:misc_RNA from 1 species